GACGAACGCUGGCGGCGUGCUUAACACAUGCAAGUCGAACGGAAAGGCCCUGCUUUUGUGGGGUGCUCGUGUGGCGAACGGGUGAGUAACACGUGAGUAACAUGUCCUUGACUUUGGGAUAACUUCAGGAAACUGGGGCUAAUAUCGGAUAGGAGCUCUUGCUGCACGGUGGGGGUUGGAAAGUUUCGGCGGUUGGGGAUGGAAUCGAGGCUUAUCAGCUUGAUGGGGGGGUAGGGGCUUACCAAGGCUUUGACGGGUAGCCGGCCUGGGAGGGGUAACGGCCACAUUGGGACUGAGAUACGGCCCAGACUCCUACGUGAGGCAGCAGGGGGGAAUAUUGCACAAUGGGCGGAAGCCUGAUGCAGCAACGCCGCGUGCGUGAUGACGGCCUACGGGUUGUAAACCGCUUUCGCCGGUGACGAAGCGUGAGUGACGGUAAUGGGUAAGGAAGCACCGGCUAACUACGUG
rnacentral:rRNA from 1 species